AAACUUUCAGCAAUGG
rnacentral:rRNA from 1 species